rfam:Vittaforma corneae ATCC 50505 unplaced genomic scaffold supercont1.24, whole genome shotgun sequence.
GCCGUUAUAGUCCAGUGGUAGGAUUUUCGCUUAGGGUGCGAGAGGUCCCGGGUUCGAUCCCCGGUAACGGCC